rnacentral:rRNA from 1 species
UACGGGGGGGGGCAAGCGUUGUUCGGAAUUACUGGGCGUAAAGGGCUCGUAGGCGGCCAACUAAGUCAGACGUGAAAUCCCUCGGCUUAACCGGGGAACUGCGUCUGAUACUGGAUGGCUUGAGAUUGGGAGAGGGAUGCGGAAUUCCAGGUGUAGCGGUGAAAUGCGUAGAUAUCUGGAGGAACACCGGUGGCGAAGGCGGCAUCCUGGACCAACACUGACGCUGAUGAGCGAAAGCCAGGGGAGCAAACGGG